rnacentral:rRNA from 1 species
AUGUUUUUUGUGGAUCAACCUCAUCAAGUUUAUCCAAUGGCAGCCAUACUCGAUUUCCUUGUUCGUUCAUGUGCCAAAAAAUUGCAAGAAAUCAUUACAGAAGAGGCAGUUCUGAUCCUAGGAGUAAAAGAAGACCUCAAAGCACUACAGCGAACAAUAGUCCAGAUACAAUGCUUUCUCAGUAAUGCUGAGCAAAGGAGGAUCGAAGAGUCAGCAGUCAACAAUUGGCUUGGUGAGUUGAGAGGUGCUAUGUUUUAUGCUGAUGAUAUUAUCGACUUGGCGAGAUCUGAAGGAAGCAAGCUUCUAAUGGAACGCCCUUCAUCAUCAAGAAAGUCAAAUAAUUGUGGUGGCAUUUUGUUUUUCAAUUGCAUUCCUAAUGUUCAGAAGCGUCUCAAGAUUGCUGUUCAAAUCCGAGACUUCAAUGCGGAACUUGAGAAGAUUUCAAGGCUGGGUGAAAGAUUUCUAAAGCUACAGAAUAUGCAGCCUAAGGAAGAAGUUCCGAGUGUGAAGCAUAUCUGA